rfam:Triticum aestivum genome assembly, contig: Triticum_aestivum_CS42_TGACv1_scaffold_380900_5AL
CAAAUACUCCCUCCAUCCGGAAAUACUUGUCAUCAAAAUGGAUAAAAAGAGAUGUAUCUAAAACUAUUAGUUUUAGAUACAUCUCUUUUUAUCCAUUUUUAUGAUACAUCUCGUUUUAUCCAUUUUGAUGAUACAUCUCUUUUUAUCCAUUUUGAUGACAAGUAUUUCCGGACGGAGGGAGGUGUGUG